CAAUUUUCAGCAAUUGAUCUUAUAAACAAUUUAUUGCAAGUAAAACAGCGGAAGAGGUAUACUGUGGACAAGACACUCUCACACAUUUGGUUACAGGACUACCAGACCUGGCAUGAUUUGCGGGAAUUGGAAAAUACAAUCGGUGUCCGUUACCUGACUCACGAAUCUGACGAUGCUCGAUGGGCCAGGGAAGCAGAACUGCACAACAAAUCUGUUUAGGCACUAUCACAAUACUCUAGUUUUCUUUAGGCUCUUGCCUAUUUCCUCGCCUGAUUCCCAUGAUGUUUUGGGAAUUAAAUGUCAAAUGGGUUGCAAGUAAUAGUUUUACUCCAGUUCAAAAAGUUUACUAUGUCAGAAAAACUUACAGCCAACAGACUACCAUCUGUGCUGCACCUGUUGCUCUCACAAAAUGUGAUAGUAACGGAAGACUGCCAACAGACUACCAUCUGUGCUGCACCUGUUGCUCUCACAAAAUUUGAUAGUAACGGCAGACUUUGUCUCUUAUUUGGACAUGCGUACUUUUGCAUGCUGUUCUGACUCACAUCAAAUGAUCACUAGUCUAUUUGCUUCCCUGAAUCUAUUAGAAUUGUCGCCCUUAUUUCAUUCCAGUAUCCCCCCUCCCCUUAAGAUGGGCUAAAAGAAAGCCAAAGCUAAAAUCAAUAAUCAAACAUGGAUGUCUUGUGUGGUCUACAAGCAGACCAAAACAAGUUUUCUUGUUUCUGUAAGACGAAGCAUUAUUGAUUGGGAUUAGAAAAAGAACAGACUCAAAGUUAAGUCGCCAAUUUUAUAUUUGUUUUGCUUCCUUGUUGACAUUUUUGUAUCAGUUAUGUUCCUCAUUCCAUAUUUCAUGUUAACACCGACAAGACUUGUGUGAUGACUCUUCCUUAGUUCUUGCAAGCAUGUUGCUUUCAGAACCCAUGGUAGAAUUUUGUCGGAAAAAAACAGAAGUAUUCACGACCGGCACUUGAGUCCAUUGUAGAGCCUCUGAUGGCAGUGCAGUUUCAGCUCAUCGAUGGGUAUUUCACUCCAGAGUAGAAUCAAAUAAAUUUUGCUCUUGGAGCCAUCGUUUUUUAAAAAAA